GACAGAGGGUGCAAACGUUGUUCGGAAUUACUGGGCGUAAAGCGCGUGUAGGCGGCUGUGCAAGUCGGAUGUGAAAGCCCUGGGCUCAACCCAGGAAGUGCAUUCGAAACUGCAGAGCUGGAGUCCCGGAGAGGAAAGCGGAAUUCUCGGUGUAGCGGUGAAAUGCGUAGAUAUCUGGAGGAACACCGGUGGCGAAGGCGGCAUCCUGGACCAAUACUGACGCUGAGGAGCGAAAGCCAGGGGAGCAAACGGG
rnacentral:rRNA from 1 species